rnacentral:rRNA from 1 species
AGGGGCAGCAUGGGUCUUAGCUUGCUAAGACCGAUGGCGACCAGCGCACGGGUGAGUAACACGUAUCCCAUUUGCCGUCUACUCUUGGACAGCCUUCUGAAAGGAAGAUUAAUACAAGAUGGCAUCAUGAGUCCGCAUGUUCACAUGAUUAAAGGUAUUCCGGUAGACGAUGGGGAUGCGUUCCAUUAGAUAGUAGGCGGGGUAACGGCCCACCUAGUCUUCGAUGGAUAGGGGUUCUGAGAGGAAGGUCCCCCACAUUGGAACUGAGACACGGUCCAAACUCCUACGGGAGGCAGCAGUGAGGAAUAUUGGUCAAUGGGCGCAGGCCUGAACCAGCCAAGUAGCGUGAAGGAUGACUGCCCUAUGGGUUGUAAACUUCUUUUAUAAAGGAAUAAAGUCGGGUAUGUAUACCCGUUUGCAUGUACUUUAUGAAUAAGGAUCGGCUAACUCCGUGCCAGCAGCCGCGGUAAUACGGAGGAUCCGAGCGUUAUCCGGAUUUAUUGGGUUUAAAGGGAGCGUAGAUGGAUGUUUAAGUCAGUUGUGAAAGUUUGCGGCUCAACCGUAAAAUUGCAGUUGAUACUGGAUAUCUUGAGUGCAGUUGAGGCAGGCGGAAUUCGUGGUGUAGCGGUGAAAUGCUUAGAUAUCACGAAGAACUCCGAUUG